CCUACGGGUGGCAGCAGUGAGGAAUCUUCGUCAAUGGACGAGAGUCUGAACCAGCCAAGUCGCGUGAGGGAUGACUGCCCUAUGAUUUGUAAACUUCGUUUUUAAGGGAAUAAAACUGUGCACGUAUCCCUUUAUGCAUGUACGUUAUGAAUACAGAUCGGCUCAAUCCGUUCCAGCAGCCGCGGUAAUACGGUGGAUACGAGCGUUAUCCGGACUUAUUGGGUUUAAAGUGAGUGUAGAUGGGUUGUUAAGUCAGUUGUGAAAGUUUGCGGCUCAACCGUAAAGUGGUAAUUGAUACUGGCAGUCUUGAGUACAGAUGAGGUAGGCGGAAUUCGUGGUGGAGCGGUGAAAUGCUUAGAGAUAAAGAAGAACCCCGAUGGCGAAGGCAGCUUACUAAUCUGUGACUGACAUUGAUGCUCGAAAGUGUGGGUAUCAAACAGGAUUAGAUACCCGAGUAGUC
rnacentral:rRNA from 1 species